UACGUAGGGGGCAAGCGUUGUCCGGAAUCAUUGGGCGUAAAGCGCGUGUAGGCGGCCUUGUAAGUCCGUUCUGAAAGUCCGGGGCUCAACCCCGGGAGGCGGAUGGAUACUGCAAGGCUCGAGUACGGAAGAGGCGAGUGGAAUUCCCGGUGUAGCGGUGAAAUGCGCAGAUAUCGGGAGGAACACCAAUGGCGAAGGCAGCUCGCUGGGACGUUACUGACGCUGAGACGCGAAAGCGUGGGGAGCGAACAGG
rnacentral:rRNA from 1 species